rnacentral:rRNA from 1 species
UCCAGACUCCUACGGGAGGCAGCAGUGGGGAAUAUUGCACAAUGGGGGAAACCCUGAUGCAGCGACGCCGCGUGAGCGAAGAAGUAUUUCGGUAUGUAAAGCUCUAUCAGCAGGGAAGAAAAAAAUGACGGUACCUGAGUAAGAAGCACCGGCUAAAUACGUGCCAGCAGCCGCGGUAAUACGUAUGGUGCAAGCGUUAUCCGGAUUUACUGGGUGUAAAGGGAGCGUAGGCGGCGCGUUAAGUCUGAUGUGAAAACCCGAGGCUCAACCACGGGAGUGCAUUGGAAACUGGCGGGCUGGAGUGCCGGAGAGGUAAGCGGAAUUCCUAGUGUAGCGGUGAAAUGCGUAGAUAUUAGGAGGAACACCAGUGGCGAAGGCGGCUUACUGGACGGCAACUGACGCUGAGGCUCGAAAGCGUGGGGAGCAAACAGGAUUAGAUACCCUUGUACGC